GUGAGGUGGAGCGAAUCACAAAACUCGGUCUCAGUUCGGAUUGAAGGCUGAAAUUCGCCUUCAUGAAGCUGGAAUUGCUAGUAAUGGCAGGUCAGCAUACUGCCGUGAAUACGUUCCCGGGCCUUGUACACACCGCCCGUCACACCAUGAGAGUUGGGAAUACCCGAAGCCUGUGAGCUAACUGUAAGGAGGCAGCAGUCGAAGGUAGAAUCAAUGAUUGGGGUGAAGUCGUAACAAGGUAGC
rnacentral:rRNA from 1 species